GGGGUCAUAGCUCAGCUGGUCAGAGCGCUGCGCUCACAUCGCAGAGGUCACAGGUUCGACUCCUGUUGACCCCA
rnacentral:tRNA from 2 species